UAAGGUCGGAGACUGUUGAAGUAGAGAGAACAGUGAAUACCCAUCAUGCAGAAGAUAUAAGAGAGAAUCCCAUGGUGGUAAAUGCGCAUCCUGAUGCUUAGAGUGCAAGCUUAGUGAAAAGAUCACAUAUGUCUCUUCAUCAAAAUGAGCACUUGAGGAAAUAGAUACUAAUAAAGUUCUUACAUAAAAUGAGGUAGGUGUAAUUAACAGUCAUUUGAAGAAGAGAUCAACCAUAACUAGAAGAGUCCCUUUUACUUGAAAAUUUUGUAUGUGGUAGAUCAACACUUCACUCUUUGAUCCAUAACAUCUUGUAAAAGUUGAUGCCUUAUCAGAUAGGGCAAUCCCUAUAUUCUCCAUAGUCUCAUAUAAUGGAAUUAUUGGUAAGUAUAAAAAAUAUGUGUUAGUUGGGAACCAACUUUAUAUCAAGAGACUUAUAAAAGUACAUAUUGGGUGAUAGCUAAAAAAGAUGAAAUCAAUGCUCU
rnacentral:lncRNA from 1 species